rnacentral:lncRNA from 1 species
GACGGUGGAUGCCGCUGCUCCGGUGAUGGCUGUUGAGAGGAGAAGCUUUACAUCUGUACUGCUGUUCACACGGGACCCGAGGGCGUGCGGGACCCGAGGACGGGCUGCUCCCUCCUUUGCUCCGGUCGCCGCAAGUCAUGAGUACCCUGCGGCGAAUGGGAGUCAGCCGCCGGCACUGUACCCCGCACAGGAUGGUCGUGCACGGGUACUUGCGCCGGGUUGCGUGGGGAGCGCGGUCGCCCUGCCCUCUGCCAGAACUGCGGCGCAUUUACGGCGAGUGUGACGGGGGGGACCCGCAGGAUUUGUCUUGUCUUAUGUGAACCGCAUCCGAGGGGGUCUCCGGACUUGUGGGCCCUAGUGCGCCCGACCCCUCCGCUUAGGGUCGGGCGAGGCGGAGAACUUCGUGGCGAGGGGUCGGGCGCCCCCGACCCUGGGAUCGCAGUUGGACGAGGCGGAAAAUCUUGCGGGAGGGGGGUCGGGUUUUCCCGAUCCUGACGCCCGGGUCGGGCGAGGCGAAAAUUUGAUCAGGCUUUGGUGGGCCUGGGCCUCCAUGUUCGCUUCUUUGAGCAGCGUGUUAGGGGGUCGUUAAUAUUUCCCCCCAACACUAUCGUUCAUGACGAUGCAUGGUUGCCACAAAUUCCUUUGUGAAUUUCUUCUAGGAUUUCUUGGCC